GCGACUGUGGCUCAGUAGGAAGAGUAGUCGUCUUGCAAUCAGAAGUUUGUGGGUUCGAUUCCUACCGAUCUACGUA